rnacentral:pre_miRNA from 1 species
AAUGAAAUUGCUGGAUCAUAUGGUCUGAGUAUAUUUAGCUUUGUAAGAAAUUGCCAAACUUUCUUUCAAAGUGGCUGUCUCAUUUUGCAUUCCCACCAGCAAU